rnacentral:rRNA from 1 species
GACGAACGCUGGCGGCGUGCUUAACACAUGCAAGUCGAACGGAAAGGCCCUGCUUUUGUGGGGUGCUCGAGUGGCGAACGGGUGAGUAACACGUGAGUAACCUGCCCUUGACUUUGGGAUAACUUCAGGAAACUGGGGCUAAUACCGGAUAGGAGCUCCUGCUGCAUGGUGGGGGUUGGAAAGUUUCGGCGGUUGGGGAUGGACUCGCGGCUUAUCAGCUUGUUGGUGGGGUAGUGGCUUACCAAGGCUUUGACGGGUAGCCGGCCUGAGAGGGUGACCGGCGACAUUGGGCCUGAGAUACGGCCCAGACGCCUACGGGAGGCAGCAGUGGGGAAUAUUGCACAAUGGGCGGAAGCCUGAUGCAGCAACGCCGCGUGCGGGAUGACGGCCUUCGGGUUGUAAACAGCUUUCGCAUGUGACGAAGAGUGAGUGACGGUAAUGGGUAAAGAAGCACCGGCUAACUACGUG